rnacentral:rRNA from 1 species
AUCAACAGUCUUUAAAAAGAAAAACUAGGGUCGGGCCUGGUUAGUACUUGGAUGGGAGACCGCCUGGGAAUACCAGGUGCUGUAGGCU